rnacentral:rRNA from 1 species
UGGGGAAUUUUGGACAAUGGGCGCAAGCCUGAUCCAGCCAUGCCGCGUGUCUGAAGAAGGCCUUCGGGUUGUAAAGGACUUUUGUCAGGGAAGAAAAGGCUGUUGCUAAUAUCAGCGGCUGAUGACGGUACCUGAAGAAUAAGCACCGGCUAACUACGUGCCAGCAGCCGCGGUAAUACGUAGGGUGCGAGCGUUAAUCGGAAUUACUGGGCGUAAAGCGAGCGCAGACGGUUACUUAAGCAGGAUGUGAAAUCCCCGGGCUCAACCUGGGAACUGCGUUCUGAGCUGGGUGACUAGAGUGUGUCAGAGGGAGGUAGAAUUCCACGUGUAGCAGUGAAAUGCGUAGAGAUGUGGAGGAAUACCGAUGGCGAAGGCAGCCUCCUGGGAUAACACUGACGUUCAUGCUCGAAAGCGUGGGUAGCAAACAGGAUUAGAUACCCUGGUAGUCCACGCCCUAAACGAUGUCAAUUAGCUGUUGGGCAACUUGAUUGUUCAGUAGCGUAGCUAACGCGUGAAAUUGACCGCCUGGGGAGUACGGUCGCAAGAUUA